GUCCUUUAGAUAAUAAUUAUUUAAGGUCUAACCUGCCCAUUGAUAAGUUAAAAGGCCGCAGUAAUUUGACUGUGCAAAGGUAGCAUAAUCAUUAGUUUUUUAAUUAAAAGCUUGUAUGAAUGGUUGGACGAGAUAAAAUCUGUCUCUUUAUAAAAAAUAGAAUUUAAUUUUUAAGUUAAAAAGCUUAAAUUUUUGUAAAAGACGAGAAGACCCUAUAGAUCUUUAUAUAAUUUUUUUUAAUAUUAAUAAAGAAAAUUUUAUUUAUUAAAAUUAUUUUUAUUUUAUUGGGGUAAUAAAUAGAUUAAUUUAAUUCUUUUUUUUAAUACAAUAAUUAUUGACUAUAUGAUCCAUUAUUAAUGAUUAUAAGAUUAAGUUACCUUAGGGAUAACAGCGUAAUUUUUUUAGAGAGUUCUUAUCAAUAAAAAAGUUUGCGA
rnacentral:rRNA from 1 species